rnacentral:rRNA from 1 species
GCGUUAUCCGGAUUUAUUGGGUUUAAAGGGUGCGUAGGCGGUUUGUUAAGUCAGCGGUGAAAUCUAGAGGCUCAACCUCGAAACUGCCGUUGAAACUGGCGAACUUGAGUGUAGAUGAGGUAGGCGGAAUUCGUGGUGUAGCGGUGAAAUGCAUAGAUAUCACGAGGAACUCCGAUUGCGAAGGCAGCUUACUAAGGUACAACUGACGCUGAAGCACGAAAGCGUGGGUAUCAAACAGGAUUAGAUACCCUGGUAGUCCACGCAGUAAACGAUGAUAACUGGGCGUAUGCGAUAUACAGUAUGCUCCUAAGCGAAAGCGUUAAGUUAUCCACCUGGGGAGUACGCCGGCAACGGUGAAACUCAAAGGAAUUGACGGGGGCCCGCACAAGCGGAGGAACAUGUGGUUUAAUUCGAUGAUACGCGAGGAACCUUACCCGGGAUUGAA